GAGGAGGACGGGAGGCACCCCCGGUCCAGCAGGCAGCGGGCGGUCCCCCGGGCCCACCCAGCACUCCAAGGCCAGCCAGCUUGGCUCCAGCAGGGCGGGCCCCACAUCCGCCUGCCCCACCUGCAAGCGUCAGGGACCCCGACCCCGCGGCUCCUCCGGCCGCUCUUGGGAAAGGCAGAGGGCCUGGGGCAGCCAGCCUGGCCAAGCCUCGGUCCCCAGAGGGCCUGUCAGCUCUCACCCGAUAACCUGUCUGAGUCACUCCAUGACUGUCAUUCUGUCUCCUCUUCGCAAGUCGGCCUCGGCACCUCACGGCCCGUGGACAAACCUGGAAGCCCUUGCCUGGCCGUCGUUGGAGCCACGUGGCCCCAGGAGCGCCCGGGCUCAGCCCAGCCAAGACGUCCCCGAGCCUGGCUCAAGCUGCACACCGCCCACCUCCGCGUCCCCACACUCCCCCCCACCCCACCCCCGAGGGUGUCUUGCCCUGAGACCUGGGUGGGACCUCUCGUGUUCAGUGUCCAGAACUGGGCCUGGCUCACUGGGGAGAGAGCAAGGCGAACGCACGCAGACACACAGGCCUGACAAAGGCUCACAGCUGUUGACAGAAAGAGCCCGGGACACACCUAGAGGCGGCAGGAGAGACUUCACGCAGGCCCCUGCAGUGGGGAGAGACCCCACAAGGACUCCAGGGUUUAAAGGGAGAGCAGGAGUCUCCCGGUGGCUCAGCCAGUUAAGCAUCUGAGGCUGUCACUGCUGUGGCACAGUUUCGAUCCCUGGCUCAGAACUUCUUCAUGCCUCGAGUGCGGCCAAACAAUAAAUAAAUAAAGGGAUGACGUUUUCGUUGUGG
rnacentral:lncRNA from 1 species